UCGAAUAUGGCCGGAUAUUUGACGAAACCAUAACCGCAUCCAUAUUUUUUAUAUGUCGGAUGCUAAAUUUUUAUUAUUAUAUACGUUAAAAACAGAUUCGGGAUGUGGUCGGAUAUUUUUUUCAAACUCGAAUAUGAAUCGAAUAUGUAUUCAGAUAAUAAUAUAAUAUGCACAUAUACAAAAAAAAUUAUUUUAUUUUUCCACCUUAUUUUCUGACUAUAUUUCUUUACAUAUAAAAUACAUAAUUUUAAUAUAUAACUCAUUAUAAAAUAACUGGAAUAAUACAAAAAAGUCACCUUAUUUUUUCACAACAUGUAUUAAUUAUUUAUCCGUAUCUUGAUUGGACGAGUAGACAAGAAAAAUCAACUCCGGAGGAAAGAGAUUUGGGUAGGAUGGACGGGCAAAAUUGAGAUAGACGAAUCCAAAAAAUAUAAAGAAUAUAAAAAUAAUAAUAGUAAAGUUCGGAUAUAUAUAUCUACAGCUAUAUCUGUUAUUUUCAUAUAUUCGAAAAAUAACUCUUUAAAACAAUAUUCGUAUACGCAUCCGUAUCCGACCAGAUCCUAAUAUUUUCUAUUCGGAUCUGAAUAUUUUCAAAUAAUAAUAUUCUAUCCGUUUUCACCCUAAUAUCGUCACAUUAUUGUGAGUUAUUUUGUGCAGUAUAUCAGACCAGCACAUCAACAGCAGUAGAACAAAAGGCAAUAUUAACAUUUCGUGUCUAAGCAAACCGAGCAAAUAGAAUAUCAAGAUAUUUUUCUAUCACACUUUCUGAGCGAUACAGACGCUUUCUGGAAUCGCGGGGAGAGGCGGAGGGAGAGUUAGGGGGGGUGUUAUGGGGUGAGCAUAGGAGGGGUAUGCAAUGAGAAUGGUGUAGGUAGAGGGGGUGUGGGGUGGGGAGAGAGAGAGGGACUGCGAAAU
rnacentral:lncRNA from 1 species